GAGAAAUAAACUUCCUUUAAGACAGGGAGAACAUGGAGGCACAAUGUAGGUAGCCAGGGUUUUAGGUGAAUCUUCCACCAGAGGAUUUAUAACUUAAAAUAGUUUGCAAAAUUAGGAUGCUAGUUUCUGUGCACAGGGAAUGUGUUGUCUAUUGAUUCUGAACUAAGACUGUGUGGUGUUUUCCUUCACAUGUCGACUCAGCUGGGUUCCAGAGAAAGGUACACAGCAGGGCACCCCAGCCAGCUGUGUGAAUUUAGAAGUGUGGGGCCUGUGUGGCAGAGGCCCGCAAUGGAGAGAUUUCAGAGCUCUGAGUCAGACAGUCUGCCAGGCUGAGAACAGGUCCUGCACUGCAGCUGAAAGGCACCAAGAGCUGCAAGUCUUAUGCCCAAGAGGACAGCAAGGAAUCGGAAACCUGAGUUCUGCUUUUCUCACGUGAAUCUGCAGGAAACAACCAAGCUGGGCAACAAAACAAGUCAGAAACCAAAACCUGGCCAAGCAACCAAAGCAGAGCAUGAUGAACAAAGGAAGUAUUUAGCAAGGCUGAUGAAAACCAGCAGAGGAGCAGUGCAAGCUGCAGGUGGGUCCACAGGGCCAGCUUUGGACUACUUCUCAAGACCUGUCCUUCCAGCGCUGCAUGGAGUAUAAUAUUCAGAUGGAGCAAGAAAGAUGCUACCCGGAUAUAUGUUUAUAAGAUUUCCAUGGUUCAAAUGCAUAUCUCUCUGACUAUGCCAAUGGGGCAGGGAUUUCGAUCUAUGACAGACCAUAUGUAGUCCAUGAGAAUAAGUUCAUUUUGGACCUCAAAAGCCCAAUGCAUGUACUUCUAAGAUUACUCAUUCAUGUUUGUGAGAACCUUUGAUAUACAUGCACGUCCUCUGUCCAGAGGCCCAUAACCAUGGUCAAUUUAACAGUGUUUGCAAUGGAGAAGUCCAUGAGUAUUUACUGAGGGAAGGACCUGAAUAAAGUUAUAAGAGCCCAGAGAAAAACUAUUGAUAAGAAACAGGCAAGAAACUAACGAGCAGGCUGAGUAACAUAAUCAAGUUACUACGCUAUUGUGCUUCCCUACUUGAGAACAGCUUUGAACUUAUUUGUAGAUUUUUUUUUAAAGAAAAUGAAUCAAUCUCUCUCUCUCUCUCUCUCUCUCUCUCUCUCUCUCUCUCUCUCUCUCUCUCUGUGCAUGCACAUGUGUAUGUGUAUAGGCAGGUAUACAUGAAUGCAUAGAAAUAAGAACAUAGAGGUCAGAGGUCCAUAUCAGGUAUCUUUCUGAAUCAUUCUCCACAUUUUUUAAAUCUUCAAAAUAUUUAUUUACUUUGUAUAUAUGAAUGUUUUUCCUGCAUUCCUAUAUGUGUACCAAAGACAUGUCUGGCACCUGCAGAGGUCAGAAGAAGGUGUUGGAUCCCGUGGAACUGGAGUUAGGAUGGCUAUGAGACACCAUGUAGGAACUGGGAACCAAAUCUUGGUAUUCUGAAAGAGCAAGUACUCUAACCUGCUGAAAAAUGCUGCCAGGCUUUCCACAUUAUUUUUUGAGUCAUGUUCUCUUACUGAACUCAUAAAUUUUGGCUAGGUUAGCUUACCAAAGAGCUACAGGGACAUACUUUUGCAAGCUCCCCAGCCCUGCUCAGGCCUGGGGUUACUCUAACACACUGCCUAGUUUUUACAUGGCUACUGUAAAUCUAAAAUCAGUUACAAAGGAAGCAUUUUACCCAAUGAGCUCUACAGCACAGUAUUUAGUGGUAUUUGAAAAACAUUAACAUGUCAUUUUUAUUACCUCACAUAUAUACAAUUCAUAUAUUUAUGUUUCAUUAAUAAGCAAGUAACAAACAAGAAAGAGAUAUUUAUUAGUCAUCCAACACUUGUUAGGAACUGUUCCAAGCACCCAAGAAUGUCAAGCUCCUUCCUUUACUUGAGUAACAUUGAAAUGGAAAACAAAAACACACCACAGAGGUUUUGGAAGAGCAUUAGUUACAAUGUGGUGAAUGGUAAAAGACUGAGAAAUGCACCUACACCCACCGGACCAUGAGUUACUCUAUACAGGUGAGCUGUGGCAGAUUACAUUCAGAACGAGGGUGGUAGGACAGACCCAAAGGACAAGAAUGAGGAUGCCACAGUUGAAAGGUGGGAGUUGCUUCUGAUAGCAGCCUGCACUAAAGCUCCAGAGAACCCAGGCAUUUUCUAAAAGUUUCCAGUGCCCAUUUACUAGACCUGAAUGAGGAAUCAGUAAAUAGCAGUAAAAAUAUCACUACAGUGUUGUGGCUAGCCCCGGUUCUGUUUGUAUUUUGAUGCUAACUCAGCUUCCCCAAGAGGGGCUGCCUGGGAUGAGAAGUGAAUUAAGUACUCAGGUGACUUCCUGUGAACCUUCCCCUGAUGAAUAAAGAUUUCUAGGAACCAAUCAGUGGGCAAGGAGCACUGACUUCCUGGUUGGAGAGCAAGAGAAGCAGAAAAAAAAGUCUUGCUUUUAGACAGGUGAGAGGCUGGAGGACAACAGGUAGCUAACAAGAGACCUCAGGAUUAGAUGGUGGAACCUCCAGGAUUUACCUGCCGAGGAGUUAUACUUAGGAUAGCUUACACAAUUAGGAUGCUAGUUGCUGCUCCCACUGAUUGAAUUCGCUGUUGAUUCGGCACAAAGUUUGUGUGGUGUUUUCCUUCACACAGUGACUCAACUGGGUUCCAGGGGGAAAGGUACUGGCUGCAAAGUGUGGGUUUGCAAGAAGUGCACCCCAAAAGGCCAUGGGAAUCUCGAAGCAUGGGGCUGGCGUGGUAGUGACCCGACAUUGGGAAUUUAGAGAGCUAGGUAGAGAGAUUUCACAGCUCCCUUCCUUUGUCUCUCUUACUGCUUACAUGGCACAUCUUCCUAGUUCAAAUACUUUGCAUUUGUUACUUUUUUUCUAGAGCACAUUAUCUAUCCCAAGAUAUUUAUUUAAUAGCUUUACUUUCUUUACUUCAUAUAUCUAUAACCCUCACACCGUUUGUAAUACAAUGCAGUGCUAAACAGUUUAAUGACAUAGCAUAUCCUGUGGUCACUGCCAGAAAUAGACUAUCCUUAACAUGAAGGCAGAGUCUUUCUAUCUCUAGCAGUUAGAAUAAAGUGUCAUACACACACAGCCAGUACAUGUUCGUUGAACAAAUGGAUGACUGAAACAAGAACAGAACAGCAGUAGAAGAGGUCAUCAGAUUUAAGUGGUGGAGGGAAGGAAGAAUGGGGCCACGGCUCAGGGAGAUGGAUAAAAUAGGGAUUAUGGGGAGUUUCAGUGGAAGUAUAGACACAAUUAAGAUACAUAAAUGGGGACAAAACUGAGUCAGUGUGUUAAGAAGAUAAAGGAGGGUUCAAAGAAACCAGAUGUAGGUAUAAUGGAAAGAGCAUUUGAAACACAUGGAAUUUACCAUGCUUCCACAGUAUUGUUGACAAAUAUUAUUGACAAAAGGGUAGGUAAUUGAGAAAUCAAUUUCACUAAUGCAUAACAAUGGACAGUAAGAGAUUAUCUAGUGAUAAUACUCUAUUGCUUAAAAUUUGUAUUUCUUAUUAUUAGUUUGUAUGUUUGUGUCUUAUAAUAUGUUUGUAAUCCCAUCUAUACACAUGCCAGCAAACACUGUGUUCUCUUUUUUUACAUAGUAAAUAUGAAAAAAGAAACCACUCCUGACUAAUUUAUAUGUAUCUCUUACCCUCAGGUCAAGAUCAUUUAAAAGGAUCUUAUUAGUUAACAAGGCAUGGUAGUACUAGAAGACAUCUUUGGCUUUUCAAAGGUCACUACAUUUAGUAAAAACCUAUCUCAUAGUCCUGUGAUAUCAGGUCAGUGAGCCAACUACAGUGUCAGUAGCUGAAUAGCCAGAAGCUUGGACUUUAGCUGAGGGUCUGAACUAAAUUUAUUAGCAUGUUUUGCAAGAUUCUUUUCAUUUCUUUCCCCUUGUAACAUUCUCAUUUUCUAACACUGUAAGUUAAAUAGUAGUGGAAAGUGUUUUGUUUUGAAAAAUGAAUGAAAAACUGGGCUCUGCUUUAAAUGUCUUAACAGAGCCAUGGCAAGGCUAGCUAAGAAGUAUAUAACACCAAAGGAAGACAUGAUUUUACUUUUCUAUUAAGGCAAUAAAAACCUUUCUGUAACC
rnacentral:lncRNA from 1 species